GACGAACGCUGGCGGCGUGCUUAACACAUGCAAGUCGAACGGAAACACCCUGCUUUUGUGCUGUGAUCGAUUGGCGAACGGGGGCGUAACACGUGUAUAACCUGCUCUUCACUUUGGUGUAACUUCACGAAACUGGGGCUACUACCAUAUCGGAUCUCCUGCUGCAUUGUGGGCGUUGGAUAGUUUCGGCUGUUGGGGAUGGACGCGCGGCUUAUGAGCUUGUUGGUGGGGUAGUGGCUUACCAAGGCUUUGGAUGGUAGCCGGCAUGGGAGGGUGACCGGCGUCAUUGGGACUGAGGUAGGGACCAGACUCGAAUGGGAGGCAGUGGUGGGGAAUCUUGCCCAAUGGUCGGAAGCGUGAGGCGGCAACGUCGGGUGCGGGAAGACGUCUUGUGGGUUGUAAACAGCUGUCGCCUGUGACGACGCGUGUGUGACGGUAAUGGGUAAAGAAGCACCGGCUAACUUCGUG
rnacentral:rRNA from 1 species